GGAUGUGAGAGUAAUCUGGCUGUGACAUCUGUCACCCCAUUGAUCACCAGGGUUGACCCAGCUGAUCUGGCUGGCUGGGUAGGGCCCCUUCCUCCCUCACUCUACCAUGUGUGUCCCUCCUGAAGGUGCACGCUCACUGAAAGCAGACAACCAACCUGGACAGAGGAUGACUGUUUCCUCUGUUAAGGGUACUGGAGUAGAUGCCCUAGAACCUCCAAAUAAAAUUUUGUCAGCAAAGGGGCUGGGGAUAGCUAAGUGGCCGGCCUCACUGCCUUGCAAGUACAAGGUCCUGAGUUUGA
ensembl:misc_RNA 7SK 7SK RNA